AUACGUAGGGUGCGAGCGUUGUCCGGAAUUACUGGGCGUAAAGAGCUCGUAGGUGGUUUGUCGCGUCGUCUGUGAAAUUCCGGGGCUUAACUCCGGGCGUGCAGGCGAUACGGGCAUAACUUGAGUACUGUAGGGGAGACUGGAAUUCCUGGUGUAGCGGUGAAAUGCGCAGAUAUCAGGAGGAACACCGGUGGCGAAGGCGGGUCUCUGGGCAGUAACUGACGCUGAGGAGCGAAAGCAUGGGUAGCGAACAGUAUUAGAUACCCUGGUAGUCCAUGCCGUAAACGGUGGGCGCUAGGUGUAGGGGUCUUCCGCGACUUCUGUGCCGUAGCUAACGCAUUAAGCGCCCCGCCUGGGGAGUACGGCCGCAAGGCUAAAACUCAAAUGAAUUGACGGGG
rnacentral:rRNA from 1 species